UCGGAUCUCCCGCCGUCUCGCCGUCUCGCCGUCCAUUGGCGAUCGCGCGGAGAUCAACAUCACGGAUCGGUUGGUUCUUCGACAGGCCUCAGAUCAGAGCAUUCGAUCCAGUUGUAAGAUAUCCCUGAAAGCAUCUCCUCCAUCCGAUCCAACAAGGACGGAACCGGAAGCGACGCUCGGCCUUCGCCUUCGUUCCUUGGCCCAGAUUAUUUGGAGAAGGCUGCGUUUGUAUGCUCCCUUUUACCUUUCAGAACCCAAAAUGCAAGGCAUCAUCUUCCUCGAACGAUCCUGAGAGGUCCAUUAUACAGUGUCAUAAAAGGUCAGAGGGCUAAACAAGGCACCAAGAACUGAAUCGAGAAAGAUGCACUUCUUCCACAACAUCUGUUGACUAAUUUGAGGAGCACUUUCUCUGGUUGGAUCCAACUCAGCUCAGCAUGUCAUUUCACUGCCUCAACAUGGAUGCGUAGCUCAAGAACUGGUGUAGCUACAAUUACUGGUGGUUUCUUAGAUCUCAUUGACGACAAUAAUAUACCUGCAAUACCUCAACCAGGGGGGCAAGCAAUUCUUUCCUGAUACUUCAGCUAGCAGUGCUGGAGCAGACACCUCCAGCACUCUCGAACCAAGGCAGUCUCUUCCUGUUCAGGCAAUGGAGAUGUCAAAUGCUUCCGACCCAGAUCGAAUUCCCUCCUCCGUCUUUACAAGGACUAAAUCAACAACACAAAAAGAUUGGAGUGUGGCCUCCAAUGAGUCUUUAUUUAGCAUCCAUGUAGGAAAUUCUAGCUUGUCCAGGGACCAUGUCCUUGGCCCAGUGGAACACCUGCCGAUGUCCACUGAUUCAGGCCUGAACCGGGCCGGAAUCGAUGCAGAUCUGGUUUCGUUGGAGCUGACUGCUGCAGCGGCAGCAAAUGCUGAGGCCAUGAAGGAUGUCUUGCCGGAACAUGCAGAGGAACAUGCUAAAAAAGAGCAGCAUUCAGCUGAGGAGGGUUCAACAUUGCCCACUAACUCAUUAUACCGCUCAGAUGAAUCAUUUGCCUUCCCGAUAUUGACAGGUGAAAGAAGUGGUGGCUCAUUAAAGGCGGAACCUGGACAAUCGCCGCAGGUAGAUAAGGGAGAGCAGCUUCCACUGCAGACUGGGACCCCAAAAGCAGCUCCUGCUGCAGGAGAGAAAAGAUGGUUCUCAUGCUUUUCUUGUGGCUCAUGCUGUUGAGAAGGGUUUCUGCUCAACGCACAAGAAGAGAUUUUUCAGCCUUCCUAACCGAGUGGAGAUCAAGUGUAGAAAAAGCAUAAGGUACUCAUCAGUUUCUCAUGUGAAUAACUUUUAUAGAGUGAGUUGGGAAGUAGCCUCCCAAUUCAUAGAAAUUGGAAGAAAGUUCACAUGAAAAUAAAUUGUCGGAAGGAGGCCUUGAUCUGUUGCAGUUUGCACCAUCCUACAUCUAAUCUUUUUAAUGAUCGAUGUUAAUGUUAGGAUCUGCACUUCAACUUGUUUCUGUAUCCAUUGCCUUUUAUUUAUGUAAAAUAAACGAUCUAGUGCUUAAGGUUCCUUCUAAUAUGGAGUUUAGUAUAAGGUUCCUUCAAUAUACAUGACUUUGUCCUUACAGCUUGUGAGAUUAUUUCUGUGGCUGAAUCUUAGUUGAUGUGAAUAUACUUGUAAACAGUUUCUAUCCAAGCUUAAGCAUCCAGCUUCUUC